rnacentral:SRP_RNA from 1 species
GCUGGGCGUGGUGGCGCAUGCCUGUAGUCCCAGGUACUUGGGAGGCUGAGGCAGGAGAAUUGCUUGAACCCAGGAGGUGGAGGUUGCAGUGAGCUGAGAUCCACUGCACUCCAGCCUGGGCGAUAGAGCAAGACUCUGUCUCAA